GCAUAUAGUAGCGAGAUAGAACUAAUAGGAUUCCCUCAGUAUGGCGAUGAACAGGGAUCAGCUCAGCAUGGAAAUUGGGGCCCUCGGCCUUGAAUUGUAGUCUCGAGAUGCAUCGCCAAUGGAGGCGCAGAUGUAAGCCUCUUGGAAAAGAGCAUCAACGAGGGUGAGAGUCCCGUUUGUCAUCUGCAGUCCCCCAUGCACGGCGUGCCUUCUAAGAGUCGCGUUCCUCGGAAUUGGAGCGUAAAUUGGGUGGUAAAUUUCAUCUCAAGCUAAAUAUUGGUUCGAGACCGAUAGCAAACAAGUACCAUGAGGGAAAGGUGAAAAGGACUUUGAAAAGAGAGUUAAAAGUGCCUGAAAUUGCUGAAAGGGAAGCGAAUGGAACCAGUGUUGCUUGGCGAGAUUGUCAUACGCAUUCGCGUGUGGUGGUUCUUGCCUUGUGUGUCAACGCCAGUUCGCGAUCGAGGAAAACUCUUGGGACAUGGUAGCCUAUCUUCGGGUGGGCGAAUGUGCCUUGUAGAACUCAUUUGCGGACUGAUUACUUCGUGUCUGGUUGCAGCGCUUCUUGUCGCUGAGACGUGCUUGGGCGUGGGAGCUUGCUCCUCGCGCCCAGCGCUCUGGUGACUGGGCGCUCCUGACACAUAGACGAUGACUAAUGGUUCUUUCGACCCGUCUUGAAA
rnacentral:rRNA from 1 species